rnacentral:rRNA from 1 species
AUUGAACGCUGGCGGCAGGCUUAACACAUGCAAGUCGAGCGGAGAGAGGUAGCUUGCUACUGAUCUUAGCGGCGGACGGGUGAGUAAUGCUUAGGAAUCUGCCUAUUAGUGGGGGACAACAUUUCGAAAGGAAUGCUAAUACCGCAUACGUCCUACGGGAGAAAGCAGGGGAUCUUCGGACCUUGCGCUAAUAGAUGAGCCUAAGUCGGAUUAGCUAGUUGGUGGGGUAAAGGCCUACCAAGGCGACGAUCUGUAGCGGGUCUGAGAGGAUGAUCCGCCACACUGGGACUGAGACACGGCCCAGACUCCUACGGGAGGCAGCAGUGGGGAAUAUUGGACAAUGGGCGGAAGCCUGAUCCAGCCAUGCCGCGUGUGUGAAGAAGGCCUUAUGGUUGUAAAGCACUUUAAGCGAGGAGGAGGCUACUUUAGUUAAUACCUAGAGAUAGUGGACGUUACUCGCAGAAUAAGCACCGGCUAACUCUGUGCCAGCAGCCGCCGCCG